rnacentral:rRNA from 1 species
UACGAAGGGGGCUAGCGUUGCUCGGAAUUACUGGGCGUAAAGCGCACGUAGGCGGCUUGGUAUGUCGGGUGUGAAAUCCCCGGGCUCAACCUGGGAACUGCAUCCGAAACUGCCUUGCUCGAGUAUGGGAGAGGGAAGUGGAAUUUCCGGUGUAGCGGUGAAAUGCGUAGAUAUCGGAAGGAACAUCAGUGGCGAAGGCGACUUCCUGGACCAAUACUGACGCUCAGGUGCGAAAGCGUGGGGAGCAAACAGG